rnacentral:lncRNA from 1 species
CUGCCACUGAGGGAGGGUUUCUUUCUGGAGAUCCCUCUUUGAUGAAGCUUUUCCCUGUAAACCUCAACUUUUCUGAUACAGAGCCUGUGCUGACAUGUGGAACUACGGAGGUUAAUGCUAGAAUGGAGAUCCCAAUACUACUGAAAAGUGAUGAGAGGAGGUGGGGGGAUCUGUGCCUACUGGAGGCCUUCCAAAGUUACAGGAAACUAAGACUGGAGUAUGAUAACAGCAUAACUGGUGCAUGUGGUCCUGGGCUGUAUGCCAAAACAAAGAGGAGAGUGCGGGCAGGGGAAAGUAGGAAUAGCUGGAACGAAAAAGGUCAUGUUCUCAGAACUGUAAAGGGCUGGAUCUCUGGUGUCAAUCAUCUCAGUACCUGGGUCAAAAGAGCUGCCAGUUACCAGCUUAUGGCCUGACACAGCUCAGCUGUAUUGGAUAUAAACAUGUGCAUGGCAGAAAUAAGAAUGUGCCUCUAUUUCUUUUCUGCAAGAAUAAAGGAUGGCACAAAAAAACUCAAGGCAACCUGCAAAGCAAACAAAAUCCUUGAAUUUUACUUGCUAUUUGUUAGUAUUUAACCAUGCAAUCUUCUACUUACAAGAAUAUUUCUGGGAAGAGAAGACUGAAAUCUGUACACUGUGUUUGCAUGACUACUUGCACAUUACUUUGUGUUCUCAGUGUGGUUCAAAUCAUGCAGUGAGCCACAAGUGGAUACUGUAUAGGUUGGGAGAAUGGACAUGAAGUGGUUGGUGACUGAAUUGGCUGCCUUAAAAUUGUCAAUUAACUCAUGCUACCAGAAGUUCAAGUAGUGGAAAAGAAGUUCACUUCUAAACUCAGUCUGAUGUAUUUUUUUUAAAGCAGAAAUUCUAGGAAAAAGUUCAGUGAAGUUCUGUUGUCACAGGCAAUUUCUUACAUAAGAUCUCAAGAUGUUUUGUAAAAUCAAUUAGAACCAUGACUUCGUAGAUGAGCGUGCUCAAAAAAUCUGAACUGCAACUUUUGCAAAUCCAUUUAUGCUCCAUAUCCUUCCCAAUGCAGUUGAUCACUUUUCAGGAUUAGUUCCACUGAAUUAAACAGAAUCAAUUAUAGAAUAAGGAAGUACAGUGUCAUGCAGAGACCUGGGUAAGAUAACGUUGUAGAUGUGUCAAUCGGUUGUGUUUUGCUAAGUAAUGCAAAUGUAAGGGGAUG